rnacentral:rRNA from 1 species
GUGGGGAAUAUUGGGCAAUGGGCGAAAGCCUGACCCAGCAACGCCGCGUGAGGGAAGAAGGUUUUCGGAUCGUAAACCUCUGUCCUUAGUGAAGAGAAAGAGACGGUAGCUAAGGAGGAAGCCCCGGCUAACUACGUGCCAGCAGCCGCGGUAAUACGUAGGGGGCGAGCGUUGUCCGGAAUGAUUGGGCGUAAAGGGCGCGUAGGCGGCCUGUUAAGUCCGGAGUGAAAUUCCUGCUUUCAAGGUAGGAAGUGCUUGGGAAACUGGCGGGCUGGAGUGCAGGAGAGGUUAGCGGAAUUCCCGGUGUAGCGGUGAAAUGAGUAGAGAUCGGGAGGAACACCAGUGGCGAAGGCGGCUAACUGGACUGUAACUGACGCUGAUGCGCGAAAGUGUGGGGAGCAAACAGGAUUAGAUACCCGAGUAGUCC